CUCUGCGAACCCAGGGAGUAACCCCCCACCUCUUCGUGAGUUUUCGUUUAGUGGCGAAAGUUUCGAGUAAUAUGCCAUGAUCCCGCGAUUGGAUAUGGCUCAUUAAAAGUUCGCUUUAAGCAAGGCGCGUGUCAUAAACGGAAUUUAUAGUAGUACCGAGACACUCUGAUACUUCUCUGACCAAAUGGCUUAUUCGAAAGCUUUAAUUUCCACUCGCGCGACGAGUCUACGCGCAAACGACGUGUGACCGCGCCAAGAAAUAACACUGUGUUAACAUUAUAUUUUUAUAUCGGGCUAAACUACUAAAGCAUACAUCCGGAACUUUCCGAUGUUAUCAACGUGAUUUCAAAAAUACAUUCACGAAGUUUCAAAACUUGAUCUUUGUCCGUAUAAUCGAUACACUAUAUCGGUGCGACCCAUGAAACAGCGAAACUUCAAUAUCCAUAACGUAACAAGCAUAAUUAUGUAACUACAAAAUAUUUGUUACAGACAGACUCUAUCUCGAUUGAAACUGAGCAAAGUGCUACUCUUCAGAUUGUUUUGCACUGAUACCCUGCUAGUGACGUUGAUGUAGUUGCAAGUAAUUAUGCCUCGCACAGAUAACUGUUAAAACUUGCUUUAAGAACACACUACGCUUAUACCCCGGCCAUGUAGCGUAGAACUAUUAAAGGGAGUAAGUAUAUUUACAUGUAAGUGACUUUAACUCAAUAUCUCUCGUCCUACGCCAGGUUCCACUAAAACUUCGGGCCGAAACUAAGCAAGCUGAGUAGCUGAACCUGCUGUUUAAUUGCCGAAUUUUAGCAAAUAAAUGCCGAUCAACUCUUAAAAAUUUGUCUAUAAAAUUUGCCUUUUGUCGGUGGAUGAUCCAAAACUCCAGCUACAUACAUAUAUAACAAGUAGAUCGAAACGUAAGGAAAAUUUCAAAUUCUCUGUACUACUCACGAGGGCAAAGGCACCGUUUUCGAUUUGACUUCUAAGUAGGCAGGGAGAAGAAAAACUGGCGUUUCCGUAUAUUUGGUAAAUACAGAAAUAGAGGGAAAGUUUCUUGCAACGAAAAUAUAACUUCCAGCGCACAUUUACCUGACGUUAUCCAAUCCAAACCCUCCCGCAUUGGCGUAACGCUGCUAAUCGUAAUUCUAUUCAAGCACCACAGCGUCAUCCCCAUAUAACCCCAUCGAUUCUCAAUUAUCCAGCAGCGAGGGAAAGAGGAAGCCGGAAAGAGGAAGGAAUGGAAAAGGAGAAGAGAGGGAAAGCGAGGCAGCUGCCGAGUUAACGCCCAGUUUCGUGUUAUCCAGCUUUGCCUACGUGUUGCGAAGAAGUGGGAUAAAAGGGUGCGCUGUUCGAAAACGAAUAUUGAAACUAGGCUAAUGAUUUCUCCCUCUAAUUGUCCUUAAACGUUUAUCAUAUCCGAGAAUAAACGGAAGGACGAAAGAAUCGUGAAAACAAUGGGGGCUAUUAUUGCACACGAUGUGAAAUGAUUCUCAAAUUCUCUCAAGCAAUAUGCGUGGUCUUAUGUGAUAAUACGAACAACUGUUAUCACGGGAAGAAUCGAUAAUGAACCGAUAAUACAGCUGGCAAAAUGAUUCCCAAGCGAUGCACGGUGUUACGUGAUAACAGUGCGAGCAAUUGCAAUUAUGAAAAGAGAUACAUACGUCGAAAGAGACGAAUACAACAAUCCAACCAUCGAUUCGGUCAAACGCAUUGAAACCCUGAUAAAAUAAUGACGUUUACAAGAUAUUUUUGACGUGUAAUAUUAAUUGAAGCUCAAUAAAAAAUAACGUUUUAAUCUCAA